rnacentral:rRNA from 1 species
CGGACGGGUGAGUAAUGUCUGGGAAACUGCCCGAUGGAGGGGGAUAACUACUGGAAACGGUAGCUAAUACCGCAUAACGUCGCAAGACCAAAGAGGGGACCUUCGGGCCUCUUGCCAUCGGAUGUGCCCAGAUGGGAUUAGCUAGUAGGUGGGGUAACGGCUCACCUAGGCGACGAUCCCUAGCUGGUCUGAGAGGAUGACCAGUCACACUGGAACUGAGACACGGUCCAG